GACGGAGGGUGCAAGCGUUAUUCGGAAUUAUUGGGCGUAAAGAGCGUGUAGGCGGCCGGUUAAGUCAGGUGUGAAAGCCCGGGGCUCAACCUCGGAAGUGCACUUGAAACUGGUCGGCUUGAGUUCGGGAGAGGGAAGCGGAAUUCCGGGUGUAGAGGUGAAAUUCGUAGAUAUCCGGAGGAACAUCGGUGGCGAAGGCGGCUUCCUGGACCGAAACUGACGCUGAGACGCGAAAGCGUGGGGAGCAAACAGG
rnacentral:rRNA from 1 species